rnacentral:rRNA from 1 species
AACAUGUAAACUAUUUUAGAGCAUUUAUGCUAUCGAGCACUUGUCCAUCCAUUACAUUUCAUGUUAUGGUUAGAUAGGAGAUCAAAUCGGCAUAGACUUGUGCCAAGAAAAGUGAAUUUCCUUGGAGUAUUAAACAAUUGCGUUCUCUUGAAGCAUUUUGUUUUAGAGAUGGUUGUUGUUAGCUCCAUUAUAUAUUGUAUGACUCUUGACAAUGGAUAUCUUGGCUCUUGCAUCGAUGAAGAGCGUAGCGAAAUGCGAUACAUGGUGCGAAUUGCAGAAUCCCGUGAACCAUCAAGUUUUUGAAUGCAAGUUGCGCCUGAAGCCCAGAAAGCUAAUGGCACGUCUGCCUGGGAUUCAAGUAGUUCAUCGCUCUAUUUUAUAUCUUAUAGAUGCGGAUAAUGACCUGUUGUGCGUGGUGCAAUUGGUUCAAUAUUGGGUUGAUUUUCACUUGAUAAUUAUCGAUAAUUGGGUGGUUAUUGCUGUUGUGCAACCUUUAUAUCGUAUAAUUGUCUAGUGCAAGAUUGUAGAAAAAUACGUGAUACUUAAAAUAUUAUUGGUGACAUGUUGAAAUGUGACCCCAGGUCAGGCGGGGUAACCCGCUGAGUUUAAGCAUAUAAAU